CACGUAGGGCGCAAGCGUUGUCCGGAAUUAUUGGGCGUAAGGAGCUCGUAGGCGGUCUGUUGCGUCUGCUGUGAAAACCCGGGGCUUAACCCCUGGCUUGCAGUGGAUACGGACAGACUAGAGGUAGGUAGGGGAGAAUGGAAUUCCCGGUGUAGCGGUGAAAUUCGUAGAUAUCGAGAGGAACACCAGUGGCGAAGGCGAGUCCCUGGACAACACCUGACACUGAGGCACGAAAGCUAGGGGAGCAAACAGG
rnacentral:rRNA from 1 species